AUUGAACGCUGGCGGCAGGCCUAACACAUGCAAGUCGAACGAGUGGCGGACGGGUGAGUAAUGUCUGGGAAACUGCCUGAUGGAGGGGGAUAACUACUGGAAACGGUAGCUAAUACCGCAUACCAUCAGAUGUGCCCAGAUGGGAUUAGCUUGUAGGGGGGGUAACGGCUCACCGAGGCGACGAUCCCUAGCUGGUCUGAGAGGAUGACCAGCAACACUGGGACGGAGACACGGUCCAGACUCCUACGGGAGGAAGCAGUGGGGAAUAUUGCACAAUGGGCGCAAGCCUGAUGCAGCCAUGCCGCGUGUAUGAAGAAGGCCUUAGGGUUGUAAAGUACUUUCAGCGGGGAGGCGUUACCCGCAGAAGAAGCACCGGCUAACGCCGUGCCAGAAGGCGAGGUAAUAC
rnacentral:rRNA from 1 species